GUCACACUGACCUCAUGCUUGUCCAUCACUCCACACAGCCUUCGAUGCAGGAAAUAGGCUGGUUUCUGAUGCACCUGGUGUCUGAGAGAAGCUUUGGUUCUUUCACUUUUCAGCUUUGCCCUGGCCUGGGCCCAGGCCCUACUCCCGAGGUCAGGCUUGUCCCAAGAGAGGCGGGGCUAGGGUGGGUAAUUAUCUCAGCGGUUGCUGUGAGCUCCAUCCAGCUCAGGAAGCUUCAUCUUCCGGAUCAUCUGAGCAACAGAGUGACCGGUUGGUGCGACUCAUAAACAGCCUCUUCAGUACAACCUGGUUGAAUAUGGAGUUGAUUUGUCUGGCCAGAAAGCUGUACAGCUUGACCAACAGCCUCAGAAGCACCAAAGCAUCUUCAGUGCUAAGACCUGGAAAAGUCGAAGUCCCUCCUGGAGAUCCAGUCACACCACAGGAGAGCAGAGCUGGGGGUGCCUGCUGAGUUCACUCCAUCCACCCCACCCCACUCCCAGAACCGUACAGGCUGAGCAGUCCAGGCCAAUUCAGGUGCACAGAUUCUCAGCACCACAGCGGCCGCUGCUGG
rnacentral:lncRNA from 1 species